AACAAACGCUGGCGGCGUGCCUAAUACAUGCAAGUCGAACGGGGAAAGCUUUCGGGUGAGUACUAGUGGCGCACGGGUGAGGAACGCGUGGAUAAUCUGCCUUAGAGUGGGGGAUAACUAGUCGAAAGAUUAGCUAAUACCGCAUAAGACCACAGGAGCUGCGGCUCAAGGGGUCAAAGGUUUUUCGCUCUAAGAUGAGUCCGCGUAAGAUUAGCUAGUUGGUGAGGUAACGGCUCACCAAGGCGACGAUCUUUAACUGGUCUGAGAGGAUGAGCAGUCACACUGGAACUGAGACACGGUCCAGACUCCUACGGGAGGCAGCAGUAGGGAAUAUUGCACAAUGGAGGAAACUCUUAUGCAGCGACGCCGCGUGAGUGAUGAAGGCCUUCGGGUCGUAAAGCUCUGUCGCAGGGGAAUAACACAAUGAAGGUACCCUGUAAGAAAGGAUCGGCUAACUUCGUGCCAGCCGCCGCCGUAAUAC
rnacentral:rRNA from 1 species